rnacentral:lncRNA from 1 species
GAGGACUUCCAUGCAUUUGUUCUUUGCCAACAAACAGAAACCAGGAGUGUAAGACAUAUUCUGGAGGAGAAAGCCACAAUCCAGGUCUCUCCAAGAGGAUGAGGAAGUGGUGGGCUACACAUAGAACUGGAUGAGGAGGAGCUACCACAACCCAGCAAGGCCUUGGAUGGAAUCCAGAGGAAGGAAGCAAAGCCAACACUUGACUCUGAGAGUUUUAUUGAACACACCCCUGUUGUUAGAUGAAGCUAAGGAAACUUUGAUUAACAAGCCUACUCAGGACUCCAACCAUGGCCUGAAGUAUGCAGCUGGCACCCA